rnacentral:tRNA from 2 species
AUUUAUUUAAUAUAUAAGUAUAUUUAACUUCCAAUUAAAAAGUCUGAUAUUUCAGAAUAAAUA